AUGUCCCCACCUGGCUCCGCUGCCACCCGCCCUGCUGCCAGGAGCCGGCCCUGUCACCUUGUCACCGUCCUCUGCCCAUGGCACAGCUCCCAGGGCACUUUUUCCUUUUUCCUUUCUCCUUUCCCUUUUUCCUUUCCUUUCAUCCCUCCCCACGGCACAUCCUCCCCUAUGGAAUAUCCUCCCCUAUGGAAUAUCCUCCCUAGGGAACAUCCCUCCCCACGGCAGAUCCCACCCCCUGGCACAGCUCUCCCUGGCACAUCCCUCGCUCCGUGCCAGCUCCGGCGGCGGUUUUUCCCCGGGCCGGGAAUAUUCGGGAAUUCCCGAGCAGCCCCGUUCGCGUUCCCAGCGGCGCCGGGAGAGCGGGAGCAGCGCUGGAAAAACUCCGGGAGCGGCGCGGGCCAUGCCAGGAGCGCUCCCGGCGGGACAACGGCGGCUUUGUGGGAGUUGUUGUUGUUGCCGCUGGAAUUCGCCGGGAUCCGCCGGGAGCAGCGGCUUUUCCAUGCCAGAAAUCCGCCGCUCCCACCCGUCGUUCCCGCUGGGUCCCAGACCCCAUCCCGCUCCCGAGUGAAAUUUCCCGGGAAUUCCGCGAUCCCCGCACCGGGAGCCGUGGGGGGGCCGGGAAUGCUCCCGCUUCUCCGGCGCUUUCCCCAUUCCCAUUCCCGCAUUCCCGAACUUCCCGGGAGCCGACCCUCGGGAUCAGCGGGAAAACCUGGGAAAAGCCGGGACUUACGGCGCUGCUCGGAGCCGCCGCUGGAUGCGGCGUUUUCCAGCGCUGCCUCGGAAUCCCGGGAUUACUCAGCUGGGAACAAACACUGCCCACAUGCAAUUCCCGGCCGGGCGGGCGCGGCUUUUCCAGAGGCAGGAUCCCGCCAGGAAGCGCCCCCAGGGAUGAUCCCAGAGCCGGCAAUUCCCAGGUUUUGGGAGCGAAUGAGCCCUGGCUCGUCCAAGGGAAAAAGGUUCCCAGAUAAACCCGGAAAUCGGCGCGGCCAAAGGCGGCCGGGAUCGGAUCCAGCGGCGAGGAAGUGGAAAAAAAGCAGGAAAAAUAUCAAUUCCCAGCCCUGCCGCGCAUCUCCCGCUCCCAGCACCUCUGGAAAACUCCCGGAGCUCCUCCAGAGGAGCCUGGCGGUUCCAGCCCUCCCGCGGCUCCUCAUUCCCAGAUUGUUCCCGGCUGGAUGGGAAUGA
rnacentral:lncRNA from 1 species